AUGCUUUGUGAGCUAUAAAGACCUUGACAAAGAUGUGACCGAAAACAUUGUAGUGAAACAGCAAACUAGAUUUUGUUUCAAAGAUGGCAAAGCUUUCUCCCUCCUUUUACCUCUUUUUUGCAUUCUUUAUUGUUAUCUCAGUUGAGAAGAUGGUGCCCAAGGUAGAUGCAGACACCUGCUAUGUAUCUACGGGGGACUGCCCAAGUGAAGACGAAUGCAAAGAACAGUGCACAACAAAAUACCCAGGGAGUGAGGGAUUUUGUCUGAGAAUUAUUUAUCCCUUUAAACAAUGUAUGUGCAAAAUUUGUUGAUGGAAUGAUACCUUGAAAUGGUAGUGGGGUUCAAUGUGUUUGUCCUAAUAUAUGAAUAAGAAGAUUGUUAAUUAAA